GCCAACGGCCAUACCGCGUUGAACACGCCAGUUCUCGUCCGAUCACCGAAGUUCACAGCAACGUCGGGCCGCGGUUAGUAGUGCCACUCGGAUGGGUGACCGCUUGGGAACACCGCGUGCCGUCGGCG